GCUACUUUGGUGUUCGCCGUAACUCCAACCCGCGCACGUCUCACGCAGAGAGCGGAGUUAACUCGUAUAAGCAACUUAGUGAGUUCGAUUCCAAAUAUUUAUUGGAUUGUUAUAGAAGAAGGCAAAUCCAUUACUUCGGCCGUCAAAGAAAUUCUGCAACACACAAAAGCAACUAAAACUGUCCAUCUCGCUGCUCAUGCACCUAAAGAACUUUUUACUUCCAACACAAAGAAAAGUUUUCAGCUUGGAACAGUUGCACAGUACAACUCGGCACUAAAUUUUAUUAGUAAAUAUAAUAAAAAUGGUGUUGUAAUAUUUUUG